rnacentral:lncRNA from 1 species
GGCGCUCUUUCUCCUCUUUCCAGCUAAUGGCAAAUGCUAUGAGCAGCACCAUGCUCUUGAGGAUGCCAAGCUAUUUUGCAAUUCCCUUGAGUCAAGAAAAAAAUUGAAUGGUCCCUCAUACUCUGAAUCUUUUUCCCUGACUCCCCACUACACUCUCAAACCUUAACUAGCGAUCUCCCUAGCAAACUCAGGGGAAGCUGCUAUCCCAACCUAGUGAAGAUAAAUAAACAGUGAAGAGAUGGAAGGGAAAGAGUAUAUUUUCUGACCACAGUAGAAUCAAACCAGAAAUCCAUAAAAAAACUAUUAACCAAAGAAGAUAAUACAAUGGAAAUCAGAAAAUAUUUUGAGCUUAAAGACAAUAGAAAUAUGACACAUCAAAAUCUGGAAAUGCACCUAAGGCAGCAAUUGAAGAGUAAUUUAUAGCUUUAUAUGCAUAUAUUAGAAAAAGAAAUAUUGAAAUCAAUGACCUGAUCUAUCAAGUCAAAAGGCUAGAAAACAACAGCAACUUAAAUUCAUCAAAGGAGAGAAAGAAAUUAAUCAAGAAAGGCUGAUAACAUGAAGAGGUCUAAACAGAAGAAUAUGGGGGUGACCCCUAGAAUGCAGACAGAAACUGUGUCAUAGCUAGAAAUCUUCAGGCCCAACUUCUAUUGCUUAGCCUAAAUGGGGUCUUUCUUCCUUACUCCUUUAAAUUCUAAAUGAAA